rnacentral:rRNA from 1 species
CCUACGGGAGGCAGCAGUGGGGAAUUUUGGACAAUGGGCGCAAGCCUGAUCCAGCCAUGCCGCGUGCGGGAAGAAGGCCUUCGGGUUGUAAACCGCUUUUGGCAGGAACGAAACGGCGACUCCUAAUACGAGUCGUUAAUGACGGUACCUGCAGAAUAAGCACCGGCUAACUACGUGCCAGCAGCCGCGGUAAUACGGAAGGUGCGAGCGUUAAUCGGAAUUACUGGGCGUAAAGCGCGCGUAGGUGGUUCGGUAAGUCGGGUGUGAAAGCCCUGGGCUCAACCUGGGAAUUGCAUUCGAUACUGUCGAGCUAGAGUGUGGUAGAGGGGGGUGGAAUUCCAGGUGUAGCGGUGAAAUACGUAGAUAUCUGGAGGAACACCAGUGGCGAAGGCGGCCCCCUGGACCAACACUGACACUGAGGUGCGAAAGCGUGGGUAGCAAACAGGAUUAGAUACCCUGGUAGUCCACGCGGUAAACGAUGAGAACUAGACGUCAGGCGGGUAUGACUGUUUGGUGUCGGAGCUAACGCGUUAAGUUCUCCGCCUGGGGAGUACGGCCGCAAGGUUGAAACUUAAAGGAAUUGACGG